rnacentral:rRNA from 1 species
UACGUAGGGGGCAAGCGUUGGUCCGGAAUCAUUGGGCGUAAAGCGCGUGUAGGCGGCCCGAUAAGUCCGCUGUGAAAGUCCAGGGCUCAACCCUGGGAUGCCGGUGGAUACUGUCGGGCUCGAGUCCGGAAGAGGAGUGUGGAAUUCCUGGUGUAGCGGUGAAAUGCGCAGAUAUCAGGAAGAACACCCGUGGCGAAGGCGGCUCUCUGGGACGGUACUGACGCUGAGACGCGAAAGCGUGGGGAGCAAACAGG